GUAUUGUUUUCAUAAGAACUGGAAGCUGGAAUAUACUGUGAAAAGUUUUACCACCUUUCAAGAGUGUUGCAGCAAUGCCAGUCCAGAAGCCAAGGGAAAUAACACUAAUUUCAUCCUGACUUUAUCUCCCUUAGCGUGACAAACACCGAC